UACGUAGGGUGCGAGCGUUGUCCGGAAUUAUUGGGCGUAAAGGGCUCGUAGGCGGUUUGUCGCGUCGGGAGUGAAAAUCCAGGGCUUAACUCUGGACUGGCUUCCGAUACGGGCAGACUAGAGGUAUGCAGGGGAGAACGGAAUUCCUGGUGUAGCGGUGAAAUGCGCAGAUAUCAGGAGGAACACCGGUGGCGAAGGCGGUUCUCUGGGCAUUACCUGACGCUGAGGAGCGAAAGUGUGGGGGAGCGAACAGG
rnacentral:rRNA from 1 species